rnacentral:rRNA from 1 species
AAUCAACGCUGGCGGCGUGCCUAACACAUGCAAGUCGAGCGAGAAAAGGGUAGCAAUAUCCUGAGUACAGCGGCGCACGGGUGAGUAACACGUGGGUAAUCUGCCCUGGAGUGGGGAACAACACCGGGAAACCGGUGCUAAUACCGCAUACGAUAACGAUGUCUGCGGACGUUGUUAUGGAAGGAGCAAUUCGCUCCAGGAGGAGCCCGCGGCUGAUUAGCUAGUUGGUGAGGUAAUGGCUCACCAAGGCUACGAUCAGUAUCCGGUCUGAGAGGACGGUCGGACACACUGGAACUGAGACACGGUCCAGACUCCUACGGGAGGCAGCAGUGGGGAAUUUUUGGCAAUGGGGGCAACCCUGACCAAGCAACGCCGCGUGGGUGAUGAAGUCUCUUGGGACGUAAAACCCUUUCGACGGGGAAGAAAACCGCAAGGUUUGACGGUACCCGUAGAAGAAGCCACGGCUAACUACGUGCCAGCCGCCGCGGUAACAC